rnacentral:rRNA from 1 species
UACGGGGGGGGCGAGCGUUGUUCGGAAUUACUGGGCGUAAAGGGGUUGUAGGUGGUCUGCUAAGUCAGACGUGAAAUCCCUCGGCUUAACCGGGGAACUGCGUCUGAUACUGGAUGGCUUGAGGUUGGGAGAGGGAUGCGGAAUUCCAGGUGUAGCGGUGAAAUGCGUAGAUAUCUGGAGGAACACCGGUGGCGAAGGCGGCAUCCUGGACCAAAUCUGACGCUGAGGAGCGAAAGCGUGGGGAGCGAACAGG